UACGGAGGAUGCAAGCGUUAUCCGGGAUUCAUUGGGUUUAAAGGGUGCGCAGGCGGGCUUUUAAGUCAGUGGUGAAAAGCUGCCGCUUAACGGUAGUCUUGCCAUUGAUACUGAGAGUCUUGAGUUUGGAUGAGGUAGGCGGAAUGUGCAGUGUAGCGGUGAAAUGCAUAGAGAUUGCACAGAACACCAAUUGCGAAGGCAGCUUACUAAUCCACGACUGACGCUGAGGCACGAAAGCGUGGGGAUCAAA
rnacentral:rRNA from 1 species